UCGAGGGCAGAGGCAGCAGGCGGAGAGAGGGAGAUAGGGCGAGGGAAGGAGAACGCGGAGAGAGACGAAGGGAGUGGGAGACCAGCGACAGCGAGCGCCAGGGCACCGCAGGCACACUGGAUGCCCGGUCCGCCGGCCCAGCCGCCCUCGGACCCUGGACCGUGCGUCGUGGGCACCAGAAACGAGACUCGGCCAAAUCCUGCCUCACCAGCAGGUAGAUGAAACUCAAGAGAAAAGGUGUGGAUAAAUGAAACUAGCCCAUGAUGAACCUGUUUUCUCCGUGACCACAAUAUUAACCAGGAUGAUGGCGAUACACUGCCUCUAGGACUGGGACAGAUAGCCACUGAGUACCUGCUUCAAAUCACCCUGCACGUUUUCUCUUUGGAAAGAUAAGCACUGGAGAACCAUCUCGUUACCUUCAGCAAAAAUGGAAACAAAUCAAGACAUUAAGAAUGCCACAGUGGACAGCAGUUAUGCAAGGUUCAGCAGAGGAAGUUUUCAAGAUGGUGUGCCUCACUAGCCAGAAAUCAGAAAAGAUCGAAGCUAGCCUUUUCAUCUCAGCUGCUCCUUAAAUCAGUGCAACCCCUCCAAAUUAAUGUGAAUUGAAACAUGCAUUGCUUUUCAACUUAAUUGAAUACUUACUAUAUGUGAACCACUGCACAAAAUAGGGGAAGAAGAUGUGGGAGACAAAGAUGUGGAGCCUGUCUUCAAUAAAUUUACAGUUAGUUUCAGGGUACAUUGUUUUUCUUCUGCUGUUAAUUAGGUGUAUCCCCAAGACAAUAAAUACAUGAAUGGAAAAGUAUAUUCUGUGUUUUAAGUCUCUUUAAUAAAAAACAAAACAAAAUCCAAAAAAACUCCUAACAUGGCAACUCAGGACAUUUUAAUCCUUUUUUUUGUUGUUGGGCUUCUGAUAGGAUCCAUUUUAUUGAUUCCAUAAAUAUUUAGUAGACUUUAGACAUAUUAAUACAUUGUAGUUUGAGUUAAUUUGCAUUAAAUUCUGUUUUUUCCCCCUUAGGUAUAGAUUGUCUGUUGGAAAAAUAUAUUGCUUGUGGAUUUCUUGGGGAGUGGGAAGGUGAAUUAUACCUGUUGUCUCUACAGUCCACUACCUUCCACGCCCUAGGGCAGUGGUCCCCAACCUUCUUGGCACCAGGGAUCAGUUUCCUGGAAAUCAAUUUUUCUGUGGAUGGUGUGGGGAUGGUUUUGGGAUGGAACUGUUCCACCUCAGAUCAUCAGGCAUUAGUUAGGCUCUCAUAACGAGUGCGCAGCCUAGAUCCCUCACAUGCACAGUUCACAGUAGGCUUUGCGCUGCUAUGAGAAUCUAAGGCUGCCACUGAUCUGACAGGAGGCAGAACUCAGGUGGCAAUGCUUACUGGCCCACUGCUCACCUCUUGCUGUGCGGCCUGGUUCCUAAUAGGCCAUGGACCCCCACAGACUGGUACUAGUCUGCAGCUUGUGGACCCCAGCCCUAGGGGCCUGCCAUUCUGAGUGAGUUAUUAGCAUGAAGAAGAGGAAGAUCUGGAUCAUACGUGGGUGAUGGUUCUCAGAGACCCAAGAUAGGAUAGGGAUGGAACAAAAUCCAUCUGGGCAACGGCUCUAUGAAAAUUUGGCUAAGUAAUUAUUUCAGUAUUCAUUGUAUUCAUUGGCCUUCGUGUUCCAUAAGUUAAAUGACUGUCUAAUUUUUCCAAAAAUUUAUUUCUGACUUGAGAAUAAGUGUGUCAUGAUUUUCCCAGUGUAAAGACACUGAUAUAACUGUAGAUACCAGACAUUUUAUGUAGUGUCUGUGACACAUUUUAGUAUGUAUGAGCCAACAAUAGACAUGUCUUUGUCUUGAGGAGUGUCCAUCUGAAUUGAAAAUGUGUCAGCUUUUUUUUAACAUCAUCAACAGACUUCUUAAUUAAGCUGCCAAUACAUA
rnacentral:lncRNA from 1 species